AACGAACGCUGGCGGCAUGCCUAACACAUGCAAGUCGAACGGGACCGUCGGGUCUGGGGGCGCACGGGUGCGUAACGCGUGGGAACCUGCCCUUAAGUUCGGCAUAACUCCCCGAUAGGGGUGCUAAUACCGGUCAAUGUCUGCGGACCAACGAUUUAUCGCCUUUGGAUGGGCCCGCGUUGGUUUAGCUAGUUGGUAGGGUAAAAGCCUACCAAGGCGACGUUCCGUGGCUGGUCUGAGAGGAUGACCAGCCACACUGGGACUGAGACACGGCCCAGACUCCUACGGGAGGAAGCGGUGGGGAAUAUUCGACAAGGGGCGAAGGCCUGAUCCAGCAAGGCCGCGUGAGUGAGGAAGGCCUUAGGGUGGUAAAGCCCUUCUACCCGGGAGGAUAUUGACAGUACCGGGAGAAUAAGCACCGGCUAACUCCGUG
rnacentral:rRNA from 1 species